rnacentral:snoRNA from 1 species
UCGCAAAAGCUUUCGCUGUUAAGGUUUUCUAAUAUUUGGAGUAGGCUAAACAUUUGCUGUAUAGAUACAAAGUAAGACCGUACGUGUGUCCCCCAGACCUAGCUUUCUACCUACUUGUAUUAUAA